ACGGGAGGCAGCAGUGGGGAAUAUUGGACAAUGGGGGGAACCCUGAUCCAGCCAUGCCGCGUGUGUGAAGAAGGCCUUAUGGUUGUAACGCACUUUAAGCGAGGAGGAGGCUACUUUAGUUAAUACCUAGAGAUAGUGGACGUUACUCGCAGAAUAAGCACCGGCUAAACUGCUGUG
rnacentral:rRNA from 1 species